rnacentral:lncRNA from 1 species
ACAUUUCCUUUUUCCAAUUUAUAUUCCUUAACAAUUAUAAAGCAAUAAAGUGUAAAUAGCGGAAAUUACAAUAAGUGGAAGAAAGCAAUAAAUUAUCUGAAUAUGUGUCUAAUACAACUGUUUGAGCAUCGACUACCCAGAACUAGUGUCACAGUUUGACAUACGGUCUAAGAGUACUACACAUACAGGUUGAAAGAAAUAAAUACAACAUUGUCUCUGGAAAUACAUGAAAGAAACAUGAAUAGUACAUAGAAUGAGACGUCAAGGCCUGAGAACGCCUGUAGGACUACCUCGGGUCGCUUGAUGAACCAGAAUCAGCAAUCUUACUACGGUCCGAAGUCUACAACAUUUGGGUCUGGACAAAAGAGUGUAGAGUGUAGUAUCAGCAUAACCGACCCCAUGUGCUGGUAAGUGCCUAGAUUAACCUCGGCGAAGUAGUGAUGAGGCUAGGACCAGACUACCAAAUAAACUGUGCAAUUUAACUAUAUACAGUGAAAAAGAAGAACAGUAAUAUAUAGUCAAGUAUGGGAGGGGGAAACAUGUUGCGGGGAAACACCGAAUAAUAACAGAAGAAUAACAAAUAAUUAUGAGGAUCACCAUAGUUCAAUCGAAAAUAGGAAGGGGAAAUCAUGUUGCGGGGUACAACAAGUAUCAAUUAGAAACCAGCAAUUAAAUGUAGAGAAAUCGUAACUCAAUUAUUAAUAAAAAUCAGGAAAUCAAAGACAAGUUCACGGCAUCACCCUUCGUGCUUUAACACUCUCUCACCAAAACAAUACACGGCAUCACCCUUUGUGCUUUAACACUCCCUCACCAAAACAAUACAUGGCAUCACCCUUCGUGUUUUACACUCUUCCUCACCCAAGUAACAAAUCACAAGGCAAAUGGGGUAAGGGAAUCUAUAACAUCGAAAUAAAAUCAAGUAACAAUAGAAAAAUCACUAAGUAAACGUAAAGGACAACACAACUCAAUUAUCAGCAAGAAACAGGAAAAUCAAGGACAAGUGCAUGGCAUCACCCUUCGUGCUUUUAAUCUCGUCCUCACCAUAAGAAUCAACAUAAACUGCACGGCAUCACCCUUCGUGCUUUUACUCUCAUCCUCACCAUAAAAUCAAUAUGAUUGGCAUAGAAUGGUACAUCGUGUGGCACGGCAUCACCCUUCGUGCUUUACACUCUUUCGUCACAAAUCAUGCACGGCAUCACCCUUCGUGCUUUAACACUCUUCCUCACCCAAAUAACAAUCACAAACAAUAGGGAAAUGGAAUAAAUGAAACUACAGUAAGAAUCCCGGCAAGGGAACAAUAGUUCAACAAUCAAGUCCCGACAAGGGAACAACAUCAAAGAAGCAUCAACAUCCUAGCUAGGGAGAUAACAUCAAAACAAUAAAUUCUCGGCAAGGGAGAUAAUAUAAUGAUUCUCUUCUCUUUUUCACUUUUACUUCACAACUCACUUCACAACCUUGAGUCAAUGCUCUAAAAGUUUCAAUUUCCACUUAUACUUUCACAUUUCAUUGUACAACUUGAGCCAACGCUCCUCAAUGUUCAAAUGUCACCACUACUUCCACAAACUUUGCACAACAAUAGAAAUCAUCAUUAAAGCAUGAAUAAUACAACAAAGCCAUAAUAAUCACAAAAUAAGACUGACGAGCAUACUUGACACCAACGUAUAGAUACUCGUCACCAUGCCUAUACGUCGUACUCGACAAAUACCACAUAGCAAAUAGGACUCGACUCUUAAUCACUCAAGCUAAGGUUAGACCAAACACUUACCUCGAUGCCACGAACACAAUUCACGUCUCAACUAUAGCUUUACCUCUUGAUUCCACCACCAGUUCGCUCGUAUCUAGCCACAAGUUACUUAAUUAAAUCAAUAAAUGCUAAAUGAAUCAACUCCAAUGCAUGAAAAUGAGUUUUCCAAAGUUUUACCCAAAAAGGCAAAAAUCUCCCCCGGGCCCACAGGGUCAAAACCCGAGGUUCGAACCAAAACCCAAUUACCUAUUCCCCCACGAACUCAAAUAUAUAAUUUAUUUUGAAAUCGGACCUCAAAUCGAGGUCCAAAUCCCCAAUUUUUGAAAAACCUAGGUUCUACCCAAAACACUCAAUUUCCUCCAUGAAAAUCAUUGAUUUUGAGUUGAAAUCAUGUGAAAAGAUGUUAAUAAUUGAAGGAAAUGAGUUAAAAUUGACUUACAAUCGAUUUGGAAGAAGAGUUGUCUUUGAAAAAUCGCCCAAGAGAUUUUUGGUUUUGAAAGAGUGUGAAAAAUGGGAGAUUUUCGGCUAAGUAUAAAAAUUGCAGGUUGCAGAUAUGGGAAUUGCGACCAGGGUUCGCAAUUGUGAACCCUGACCUCUGAUAUACACGCAUUCGCGAAGGGGUUCUCGCAUUUGCGAGUGAGAAAUGCGAAGGAUAUGUCGCAUUUGCGAUGACUGGCUAAAAGGGGAAGUAUCGCAUUUGCGAUAGAAUCCUCACAAUUGCGAGGUAGGCUGGCCUAGGCUUCUUUCACAUUUACGACAUACCUCUCGCAUUUACAAUCUUGCAUUUGUGAGCCAAGCUUUGCAAAUGCGAAGCCUGCAGGCCUGCAAUGCAACAACUGAAAGUCUGCAAUUCACCAAGUCCAAAAUCCACCCCGUGGCCUAUCCAAAACUCACCCGAGCCCUUCGAGUUCCAAACCAAACAUGCACACCCAUCUAAAAAUAUCAUACAGACUCGCUCGUGCAUUCAAAUCACUAAAACAACAUAAACAACUAUGAAUUUAGCAUCAAAAUCAUGAAAUCUUCUUAAGAACUUUAAAUUUCCAAUUUUCUAAAAAAUGAUCCGAUUCACGUCGUUUCAAGUCUGUUUCUUACAAAAUUUCACAAACUUAUCUUACAUAACAUAUAAGACCUGUACCGGGCACCAAAAUCAAAAUACGGGCCCAAUACCAUCAAGUUUUAAUCACAAUUCAUUUCCAAAUCUCAUAAAUAAUUUCAGAAAAUAAUUUUCUUUGAAAAUUCAUUUCCCGGGCUUGAGACCUCGGAAUUCGAUUCCGGGCAUACACCCAAGUCCCAUAUUUUUCUACGAACCUUACGGGACCGUCCAAUCAUGGGUCCGAGUCCGUUUACCCAAAAGGUUGACCGAAGUCAACUUAAACUCAUUUUAAAUGCAAAAUUCAUCAUUUUUCAUAGAUUUUUACAAAUGGCUUUCCGGCUACGUGCUCGAACAGCGAACGCAAAUUGAGGUGAUGUCGAAAGAGGUUUUUAAGGCCUCGGAAUGCAGAAUUUACUUUUAAAACAAGUGAUGACCUUUUGGAUUAUCGCAAAGUCACUACAGCUCAUUUUCAACUUGCUACAUGCAAAUCCUUAAACUUACACAAGAAAUGCAUUCGAAUUUUACAACAAACACUACACUAAGUGAAUUAAUACAUUAUGCAGUUGAGUCCAGCCCUUUUUUCUUCUUCAUGUUUUGAAAAUUUCAAGUGCAUGUGAAUCUAUACAUCAAAUCAUGAGAUGGACACCUCUUCUGGCUUCGUUUCAACUACAAACACUCGAUCUAAACUGACGAAAAUAACUAUAUUUUAAACUGCAGAACAAGUAACAAAUCUACUCAUGAAUAGCACGAAUAACUAUAGAAACAUGCUAGUUUUACACAUUGAAAGAGGGAGAGAGCAUUCCAAAUUCACUCAAACUCGCUAAACCAUCAUUGAAAAGCAGUUAUCGACACAACUGAAUGAUUAACUAUUACGAGAAGCAUUCAUCUAUACCACAAACAUUCAUAUGAUAACAGGAACUUCAUAAUAUUAUAGCAUUUAACAGUCAUUUCAUUUUUCGAAGCAUAAAUUGAUACCUGGAAAAACAGCAGUGACAAACAAGAAAAUAAGAAUCUAAAUUUGACAAGCACAACUAGAAAUGGGAUGAGCUUGACAGAAACAGCAGCAAACAAACAGAGAAGGUAGCUCAACCAGAUUUGAACUCAGAACUUGGAAAACGACUGUGAGAUAAUGAAACAAACUAGGAAGCCUUUAGUUUUUUUGUUUCUGAAAUCCCAGAGUUGGUUUUUCAGAAGUUUUCUUUUAUAAAAAAAAAUGAAGAACAGUGAACUCUCAUAAAUCAGUGUAAAAUCAGUAAAAAAUUUGAACUUUAGAGAGUUUUCGUGUGUAAAAAUCUGUCUAUCCCCUAAAAUAAGUGUGUGAGUGAGACUUAUAUAGAGUGAGAGUGUGCUAAGGGAUAAGGGAAGGUACAACCCCUAAAAAUAAGGAAAAUAGCAUCUUUCUUUAACCAAUUUGUGUACAGUUGUCCCUUUUUAUCAGAUAUUAUCGAUAUCAGCAUCUUUUCUUAACCAAUUGGGAUAGUUGUCCCUAUUCUAGAAACUUUUUUUAUUCUUAUCUGAAAUUCCCCCCUAAUCUUAUUUUUCAAUUGGCCCCCUUAAGUUCUAUUUGUUACCCUUCUCACCCCCAAACCUUUUUUUGCAUUGAACUUAAAGCCCCACAAUUUUAUAAACCAAACCUACUAAAAAGCAAAACUCUGUGGCAGAUGAAAUGAUUAGAAUGUGGAAUCAAAACCUAUACCAUUAACUAUGUAUGGGACUAAUCCAUAACAAACAGAAUUAAUAACCAUCCCUUAAUCAUGCUAAUUAAUUGUCUUUAAACACAUAGUUAGGUAAUUAACUAAAUAGGAAUGCAAAACUAUAAAGAACUAUACUAUUCUGAUUAAUCUUAAAUCAAACAAAACAGAGAUACUAAAAAAACAAGGUUCAGAACAGACAAAAAUAGAAAGAAAACAGAAAGAAAUAAAAAAUAAGAAAUAAAAAUAAAAACAAAACAAAGUGAAGGCAUGAUAGAUUGAUACUAUUGAAAAUGAACUAAUUUGGAAAAUUACAUACAAAUUAACCUACACUACUAACAUAUUAACAGAGGGAAGAGAUACCUAAGUGCUCCAAUGGAUUGUGAGAAGAAAAAGGAUUUCCGGCAAGACGGAGAAAUUGCCACACACACACACUGGCCGGAUUUCUCCAUACGAGACAGUGCUGGUAUGCAACAAAUAUCUCUUGCUGGCCCGAUAAAGAAGCGAGGCAAGGUGGGGAUGAACUACGCAAUCCAGAGGAGCUUGACCAAGGUUUUGUGGCAAUGAAAUCAACAAAAUCGUGCAAUUGUCAAUAGAAGUCGACUGAUGUAGGUUUCGAUCCCAAAUGAGCCAAAAUAAGGACAAAUCAAACAAAAGGAAAACUUUAGGGUUUUUACGAUUUCUAAAUUUGGAAUUCAUGGAGUUUAGGCAAUUUUUUUGGGAAAAUUAUUGAGGGAUUUGACUGAGGGGAGGAUGGAGGCUGUAGGGUAUUAGUUUGGGGUUAUCUGGUGAUGUGCCACCGCCGUGGGCGAUUUUCGGCGGUGGUUUAAGGCUAAGGGUGAGAGAGGGAGUCGAAGGAAUCUGGGCUGGUCUUUAGGGUUUGGGGGUAGCUGGAUUCGGACACUAAUAAGGGAUGGAAUGGUUAGUUCUCAGCCGUU